GAUUAACGCUGGCGGCGUGCAUAACACAUGCAAGUCGAACGAUGAAACUCAUUAGAUUUCUUCGGAAUGAAAAUGAAUGGGUUAGUGGCGAACGGGUGAGUAACGCGUGAGUAACCUGCCUUACACAAGGGGAUAGCCUCUGGAAACGGAGAGUAAUACCCCAUGAUACCAGACAAUCGCAUGAUAAUCUGGUCAAAAUGUGUAGGGGUGUAAGAUGGACUUGCGUCUGAUUAGGUAGUUGGUGAGAUAAAAGCUCACCAAGGCAACGAUCAGUAGCCGGCUUGAGAGAGUGUACGGUGAGAUUGGGACUGAGACACGGCCCAGACUCCUACGGGAGGCAGCAGAGGGGAAUUUUGGACAGUGGGGGAAACCCUGAUGCAGCGACGCCGCGUGAUUUAGAAGGCCGUCGGGUUGUAAAAAUCUUUUGUAUAGGAAGAAAAUGACAGUAAUAUACGAAUAAGGACCGGCUAAUUACGUG
rnacentral:rRNA from 1 species